UCGGCAUUGAAUCUCUUGCAAACUAAUGGAUGUAAAUAAAUAGCGUGCCCCUCCACUAAAACGGGCUAGAAUUCCAGUAGCCGAAAGCAUCACUAGCUUACACUCUAACCCGAGUAGCAUGGGGCACGUGGAAUCCCGUGUGAAUCAGCAAGGACCACCUUGCAAGGCUAAAUACUCCUAGGUGACCGAUAGCGAAGUAGUACCGUGAGGGAAGGGUAAAAAUAACCCCCAUCGGGGAGUGAAAUAGAACAUGAAACCGUAAGCUCCCAAGCAGUGGGAGGAGCCAGGGCUCUGACCGCGUGCCUGUUGAAGAAUGAGUCGGCGAUCCAUAGGCAGUGGCUUGGUUAAGGGAACCCACCGGAUCUUACCUCUUUUGAAAGGAGUCAAUAAA
rnacentral:ncRNA from 1 species